AGCUGUUAAGCUUUGUCUAUGACAGUUUUUCAGCCAGGGAGCAUAACUACAGUCGUGUUGCACUCUCUCACACAGAAAGAUGAAGAAAACACAGAAUGCAGCAUUUUGAAGAGCAGGCUGCUCUUUUCCAAACUGCCAACAAUCAAGGCAACUUCACAUCACUUCAAGAGACUCCACAGAGCUGCCUGACGCUUUUGGCCACCCGUGUCAGGCUCAACAGAGUUCUGAUGGCUCAGGGGAGCCAAGUAUCAGAGCCUUGCAAAGCAGUAUUUGGUGGUAAAAGUAGCAAACACUA